rnacentral:rRNA from 1 species
CCCUGAGGGGAGAAGUCUGACGGAGCACGCCGCGUGAGUGAUGAAGGUUUUCGGAUCGUAAAGCUCUGUUGUUAGGGAAGAACAAGUGCCGUUCAAAUAGGGCGGCACCUUGACGGUACCUAACCAGAAAGCCACGGCUAACUACGUGCCAGCAGCCGCGGUAAUACGUAGGUGGCAAGCGUUGUCCGGAAUUAUUGGGCGUAAAGGGCUCGCAGGCGGUUUCUUAAGUCUGAUGUGAAAGCCCCCGGCUCAACCGGGGAGGGUCAUUGGAAACUGGGGAACUUGAGUGCAGAAGAGGAGAGUGGAAUUCCACGUGUAGCGGUGAAAUGCGUAGAGAUGUGGAGGAACACCAGUGGCGAAGGCGACUCUCUGGUCUGUAACUGACGCUGAGGAGCGAAAGCGUGGGGAGCGAACAGGAUUAGAUACCCUGGUAGUCCACGCCGUAAACGAUGAGUGCUAAGUGUUAGGGGGUUUCCGCCCCUUAGUGCUGCAGCUAACGCAUUAAGCACUCC